GCGCCCGUAGCUCAAUGGUAGAGCGUCCGUCUUAUACACGGAUGGUUCUAGGUUCGAGUCCUAGCGGGCGCA
rnacentral:tRNA from 1 species